GUUGGAGUUCGAACUCUCAUUUCAUCUCGUUUCUUAGCUCGUCUAAAAAGGCCCCAGUGGCGCUUGAAACUUCCAACCAGAAAAGCCUCAUCGUUUCAUUUUUGCAAAGACACCAAAUACAAGGCGGCACCUCCCUCACCUCCUUCCAGACGUAGGGCAGUCAAGCAUCUCAAGACGACCGAGACUUCAGCAUGCCCGGCGGAAGUUCCCUUUUUCUCAGCGCAGAGCUCUGGAAUCGCGGGAAACCGUGCUCUCGUGCCGCAGGCAAAUGGGGCAGCUCGCGCAGGUUUAAAUCUAGCACUCGCCACCCACUCCGGGAGACCCUGCUUUGAGCGGGGUUGGAACGAUGGCUGCUAUCAUACAGGUUACAAACGCACGGUCGUUGAGCCACAAAGCGCUAGAGCAUGAGCCGGCUUGCAAAUGCCUUGCUUUAAGCGGUCCUAAAGGCCUUCAUGAUAUCUUGCUGCCUUGCCCCCCCCCCCCCCCCCCCCCCGAGCUACAAGUCUAACACCCUUUUCGUUCUUUCCCGUUCUUUUUCCUUCCUUCUCCUUCAACUACGAUACAAGACCCAUUCUCAUCUCUCCGGGAUCUGGCCCCUUACGGCUGCCAGGCCGCCGAGGAGGUCUUGUUGACCCAGUACGCGCCUCCGCAGCUUCCCUGCCUCCUCUUUGCGGCUCCCUUUUCCCUCCACCUGCUGUGGGUCCCCGGCCCACGCCGACCCCCCACCCACCGCACUGAGCACGUACGCAGCGGAGCCGAGCUGAGCGCCGGAAGCUCGAGCCGGCGUGGUGGGUCGCGGUUCGUCUUUCCCGUUGCUGCCGCUGCGGAUGCUGCUCAAUCAACUGGAUGGGUAAGUUUGAAAAACAAGUUUCCGCUUUGAAAAGCUUUUCACUAUUUCCAUUGUCGGGGUGCUUCAGUUCCUCAAGGGCCUAAAAACCUAAAGACGACCAAGUAAUUUACAAGUCCCAGGAGAGCGUCCUGGUGAAUGUCUGACCCUGUUCUCGGCGUGGGGACAUUAGAACGACCAUCGACCCGACCCCUGCCGUCGUGGAACCUCCCUGCCGGGCAGAGGAACCCGAAGGAAGUGGAAGCACCCCACCAGCCUCGAAGGCUUUUCGUCUUCACUUUGUUCCCAGUGCUGAAGGCCCCCCUGAAAGUGGCUGUGGUCACACCGAGUCUCAACACCAGCCUAUUCGGGAGACUCCAAGGCAGCCCACCCAAGAAUCACUCAAAACGCCAGAUUUCACUGGAGCGUGUUGGCCGCGGACCUCCUGUCAGUGGCUUUAAAGCAGCGCAGGCAGGAGCCCGAGGGACCCCCUUCGCCCAGAGGACACCAAAGAGACUCCGCUCUGCCGGGAGGGCCGCGGGGCGGCGCAGAGCCAACGGGCUGGCGGAGGAAGAGCGCGCACCGGACGUCUGCCCUGGGGCCCCUCGUCCUGGAGGCGGACGCCCUGCGUUCGGUGCGAUUCCCGAGGCCAGGCUGCUGAGGGCGCUAGGGUCCCGUCCUCGGGGCGGCGCGGCGGUCCUUUGCCGGGGCUGCUUGGGGGGCGCGGGCUCCUCGCUCGCAGGGGCGCGGCUGUUUCCAGGGCCUUGGGCGGUUCGAGCGAAGUCGGCGGGGCGGAUAGUUGUGGCCGAAAUGCCACUUUUGGGGGUUAGAGCAGGAGACCAGGCCGCCUGCCUCGUUUCCGUAGUGUAGUGGUUAUCACGUUCGCCUCACACGCGAAAGGUCCCCGGUUCGAAACCGGGCGGAAACAGCUUCCUUUUACCACUACCCCCCCCAACCCCCCCCCCCCCCCAUCUAUUGUCCUUUAAACCGCAAAAAGAACGAGGGCCGGAGUCCCACCGCCACCUGAAAGCCUUCUCAGCACUCGACCACCAGGCCUGGCCGCUGUGUGUCUGCUCCCAGUCACCUUGGAGAGCGGGCCACACCCACUUAGUCACUCCAACAAGGGCACGCAGGACGAAGCCCACUUCAGGUUACCUCUACUUCCACGCAUCCGCUGACCUGCUCAUCUGGCGCCUCCGUCUGCCCCACGGGCUCACAGCGACCGUGGCUCUGAAAAGCAGCACGUUCUUCCCUGGGCGGCACACUUGCGCAACAGGUGUAUUUAUUUGCCUGACAGAACGCAAAGAACACAAACCAGCUGCACCUGGGACCCGAGCCAAAGACGCGUAGGUGAGGAGUUUCAGGCUCCACCUAAUGAGCCCAUGGGGACACCAAAGGAGCCCGUCCCCGUGCCGUCAUCGGGACAGCUCUGGGGCUACUUCGGAAGUCGCCAAGUAGAGGGACUCCGCCCCUCCCCUCCCGCUGAGAGCCGAGUCCGCACCUUACCCAUCAGCAAACGAGGCUCAGAAAGAGAGCACGGCCUUGGCUCUGCAACACACACGGCUCCAGCUGGACUAGAGUGUGGCACAGGCCAGUCACCUUGUGGUCAGGGCCCAAGGGGUCGCUGAGGCUGGAAGAGGUGGUGAGCAGCAGGGCAAGGGCUGGGAGCCUUGUGCGGCUGCAUUCAGCCCCGCGCCGCUGGGAAUCGCCUCCGCUUGUGCUCUGUCCGCCUGGGAAAUGUCACCUUGACUUUCAGGGUUUUCAUCUGCAGGGGCCGAAGCAGGGAUCCUGUGUGGGUGGAUUCCCCGGGAUCGGAUCGGUGGGAUGGGAUUUGGAUUUUUCACCGCUACUGCUCAGGUUCGAUUCCAAU
ensembl:lncRNA